UGCGCGGUAGCUCAGUGGUAGAGCUUUCGAUUGCAGCUCGAAGGGUCACUGGUUCGAACCCGUCUCGCGCUU
rnacentral:tRNA from 1 species